UGGAGAAUGAAUUUGGUAUAUAGAAUCAGAUUAAUAAUGCAAAGUUAGUGAUCAAAUUAUACUCAUCCCUGACACAUUUUUAUUAUAAUUAACUUUUAUUCCAAUUUUGUAGUUGCUAAAAUUAUAAACAACAAGCUCGUACCUUUUUGUUCAAUUAAGUUUUAAAGAUACAGUUCGACAGUAUAACGCAGUCCUUGAGUUCGACACUCGG
rnacentral:lncRNA from 1 species